AUUGAACGCUGGCGGCGUGCUUUACACAUGCAAGUCGGACGAGUGGCGAACGGGUGAGUAACGCAUCGGAACGUACCGAGUAAUGGGGGAUAACUGUCCGAAAGGACAGCUAAUACCGCAUAUUAUUCGAGCGGCCGAUGUCUGAUUAGCUGGUUGGCGGGGUAAAGGCCUACCAAGCCGACGAUCCCUAGCUGGUCUGAGAGGAUGACCGGCCACACUGGGACUGGGACACGGACCAGCCGCCUACGGGAGGCAGCAGUGGGGAAUAUUGCGCAAUGGGUGCAAUCCUGACGCAGCCAUGCCGCGUGAAUGAAGAAGGCCUUCGGGUUGUAAAGUCCUUUCGGCGAGGAAGCGUUACUCACAGAAGAAGCACCGGCUAACUCCGUGCCAGCAGCCGCGGUAAUAC
rnacentral:rRNA from 1 species